UACAGAGGAUGCAAGCGUUAUCCGGAAUGAUUGGGCGUAAAGCGUCUGUAGGUGGCUUUUUAAGUCCGCCGUCAAAUCCCAGGGCUCAACUCUGGACAGGCGGUGGAAACUACCAAGCUGGAGUACGGUAGGGGCAGAGGGAAUUUCCGGUGGAGCGGUGAAAUGCGUAGAUAUCGUUUGGAACGCCAAUGGUGAAAACAACUUGCUGGGGGUGUGCUGACGCUGAGACACGAAAGCCAGGGGAGCAAACGGG
rnacentral:rRNA from 1 species